GGGCUGGUGGUACAAUUGAUUAUGUCUGACUAUGACCCAGAAGAUUCUAAGUUCGACUCCUGGCUGGCUCA
rnacentral:tRNA from 1 species